rnacentral:rRNA from 1 species
CCUACGGGGGGCAGCAGUCGAGAAUCAUUCACAAUGGGGGAAACCCUGAUGGUGCGACGCCGCGUGGGGGAAUGAAGGUCUUCGGAUUGUAAACCCCUGUCAUGUGGGAGCAAAUUAAAAAGAUAGUACCACAAGAGGAAGAGACGGCUAACUCUGUGCCAGCAGCCGCGGUAAUACAGAGGGCGCAAGCGUUGUUCGGAAUGACUGGGCGUAACGCGUGCGUAGGCUGUUUCGUAAGUCGUGUGUGAAAGGCGCGGGCUCAACCCGCGGACGGCACAUGAUACUGCGAGACUAGAGUAAUGGAGGGGGAACCGGAAUUCUCGGUGUAGCAGUGAAAUGCGUAGAUAUCGGGAGGAACACUCGUGGCGAAGGCGGGUUCCUGGACAUUAACUGACGCUGAGGCACGAAGGCCAGGGGAGCGAAAGGGAUUAGAUACCCCAGUAGUC